GCUUUCGCGCAGCCGAACGCAUUUGUUUCCCGUCCGAAGGACCCCGCAACCGGUUCGGAAACGGCCUUAAGGGUCGGUAAUGGCAGUUGGCCGGUGGCUCGCCUCGUGCGGGUCGUCGGUUGUUAGCCGUCCGAUCUUGGCCCGUGGCCGGACCGUGGUGUCGCGAGGCCCGUUUGGGCUUCUUCGCCUCCUCCGUUCGCGGACGCCGGGAUCCCGGGGCAGGGGUUCGCACUUCUGCGGGCGCACGGACCGACUCCGUGGCCCAGCGGUCGCAUGCGUCCUCGUUGGCCUCGGUGAACCCGUCGGAGGUUGGCGGUUAGCGGGGAGUAGAUCGGUCACCCACCCGACCCGUCUUGAAACACGGACCAAGGAGUCUAACAUGUGUGCGAGUCAAUGGGUCUCGAAUAAGCCCAGAGGCGCAAUGAAAGCAAAGGCAGGACUCGACGCCUGCCGAGUUGGGAUCCUCCUUCCUUCGCGUGGGAGGCGCACCAACGACCCGUCCUGUCCCAUUUAUGGGUUGGGCGGAGUUUGAGCAUACACGUUGGGACCCGAAAGAUGGUGAACUAUGCCCGGGCAGGACGAGGCCAGAGGAAACUCUGGUGGAGGUCCGCAGCGGUUCUGACGUGCAAAUCG
rnacentral:rRNA from 1 species